rnacentral:rRNA from 1 species
AAAUUGAAGAGUUUGAUCAUGGCUCAGAUUGAACGCUGGCGGCAGGCCUAACACAUGCAAGUCGAACGGUAACAGGAAGCAGCUUGCUGCUUCGCUGACGAGUGGCGGACGGGUGAGUAAUGUCUGGGAAACUGCCUGAUGGAGGGGGAUAACUACUGGAAACGGUAGCUAAUACCGCAUAACGUCGCAAGACCAAAGAGGGGGACCUUCGGGCCUCUUGCCAUCGGAUGUGCCCAGAUGGGAUUAGCUAGUAGGUGGGGUAACGGCUCACCUAGGCGACGAUCCCUAGCUGGUCUGAGAGGAUAACCAGCCACACUGGAACUGAGACACGGUCCAGACUCCUACGGGAGGCAGCAGUGGGGAAUAUUGCACAAUGGGCGCAAGCCUGAUGCAGCCAUGCCGCGUGUAUGAAGAAGGCCUUCGGGUUGUAAA